UUGGGGGAUAUUUCCUCUUUGGGCUGAAGACUGGGGCAGACGAUUAGUUGUAGGCUGAUGAACACAGUAAGAUGGUCCGAUCCUAGCUCUGGUUCAUAAUGAUACUUGAACCUAAAUUGUGGUCCUGAGCAGAAUUUAAGGAUCGGUUAUUCUUGGUUUCGUCGUCAUAUUUACUUCUACCUUCAUAGCGACCGGCAUUCAAUACUGACAACUGUAGAUAGCAAGAUACUUAGGCAUACCGGACU
rnacentral:lncRNA from 1 species